rnacentral:rRNA from 1 species
AAUAAUUUAUUUGAUGGUUUCUUACUACAUGGAUAACUGUAGUAAUUCUAGAGCUAAUACAUGCGUAAAGUCCCGACUCUCGCGGGGGGGGAUGUAUUUAUUAGAUAAAAAACCAAUGCGGGCUCUGCCCGGUUUUGUGGUGAAUCAUAGUAACUUUUCGAAUCGCAUGGCUUCACGCCGGCGAUAGUUCAUUCAAAUUUCUGCCCUAUCAGCUUUCGACGGUAGUGUAGUGGACUACCGUGGCGUUAACGGGUAACGGAGAAUUAGGGUUCGAUUCCGGAGAGGGAGCCUGAGAAACGGCUACCACA